rnacentral:rRNA from 1 species
UUGCUGGGUUGGAUGAGUGGCGAACGGGUGAGUAACACGUGAGUAACCUGCCCCCUUCUUUGGGAUAACGGUCGGAAACGGCUGCUAAUACCGGGUAUUCACUGUCCUUCGCAUGGGGGGUGGUGGAAAGGUUUUUUCUGGUGGGGGAUGGGCUCGCGGCCUAUCAGCUUGUUGGUGGGGUGAUGGCUUACCAAGGCUUUGACGGGUAACCGGCCUGAGAGGGUGACCGGUCACAUUGGGACUGAGAUACGGCCCAGACUCCUACGGGAGGCAGCAGUGGGGAAUAUUGCACAAUGGGCGAAAGCCUGAUGCAGCGACGCCGCGUGAGGGAUGACGGCCUUCGGGUUGUAAACCUCUUUCGCUCAUGGUCAAGCCGCAACAGUGGUUGUGGUGAGGGUAGUGGGUAAAGAAGCACCGGCUAACUACGUGCCAGCAGCCGCGGUAAUACGUAGGGUGCGAGCGUUGUCCGGAAUUAUUGGGCGUAAAGGGCUUGUAGGCGGUUUGUCGCGUCCGCCGUGAAUCCUCUGGCUUAACUGGGGGCGUGCG